rnacentral:rRNA from 1 species
CUACGGGGGGCUGCAGUAGGGAAUAUUGGUUAAUGGGCGAAAGCCUGAACCAGCAACGCCGCGUGCGCGAUGAAGGCCUUCGGGCUGUAAAGCGCUUUUUGAGGGGAUGAGAAAGGACAGUACCCUCAGAAUAAGUCUCGGCUAACUACGUGCCAGCAGCCGCGGUAAAACGUAGGAGGCGAGCGUUAUCCGGAUUUACUGGGCGUAAAGCGCGUGCAGGCGGUUCGGUAAGUUGGAUGUGAAAGCUCCUGGCUAAACUGGGGGAGGUCGUUCAAUACUGCCGGGCUAGAGGAUGGGAGAGGGAGGUGGAAUUCCGGGUGUAGUGGUGAAAUGCGUAGAUAUCCGGAGGAACACCAGUGGCGAAGGCGGCCUCCUGGCCCAUAUCUGACGCUCAGACGCGAAAGCUAGGGUAGCAAACGGGAUUAGCUACCCCGGUAGUC